CGCGUCACGCUGCCCGAGUGGAUUACAGCCGAGUGCGGAGCGCGAGGAACCGCCAGGGUGUGUGUCGCAGCCGCUCGUCUUCGGCGGUUUGCUAGGCUCCUAUUAUGGCGGCGGCGGCUGCGGCGGUUGCGGAGGAGGCGAGCGUGACCGCAGCUGUUUCAGGUGCCGACAGCAAUGGUGAGUCUCCUGAAGUCGAAGGAGAAGGUGUUGGAGCAGUGGGCCAAGAGAAGGACGCAGCCACGAAAGGAGCGGAGGCCGUUGGAGACAGCGAGGAGGACGGGGAGGAUGUGUUCGAGGUGGAAAAGAUACUGGACAUGAAGACGGAGGGGGGUAAAAUCCUUUACAAAGUUCGAUGGAAAGGGUACACAUCAGAUGAUGAUACUUGGGAGCCUGAGAUUCAUCUUGAGGACUGUAAAGAAGUUCUUCUCGAAUUUAGGAAGAAAGUUGUGGAGAACAAAGCUAAGCCAGUCAAGAAGGAUAUUCAGGUAUCAAAUAAACUGUCCUUAAAUAAUGACAUAUUUGAGGCAAAUUCUGAUAGUGAUCAGCAAAGUGAGACAAAAGAAGAUACUUCUCCAAAGAAGAAAAAGAAAAAAUUGAGGCAUAGAGAAGAGAAAAGCCCAGAUGAUCUGAAAAAGAAAAAAGCAAAGACUGGGAAACUAAAAGAUAAAUCCAAACCAGACCUGGAGAGCUCUUCUGAAAGUUUAGUUUUUGAUCUAAGGACAAAGAAAAGAAUUUCGGAAGCCAAAGAAGAAAUAAAGGAAUCCAAAAAGCCCAAAAAAGAGGACACAAAAGAAACUAAGGACUUAAAGAAAGUUAAAAAGGGUGAAGGAAGAGAUUUCAAGGCUAAAAUAAGAGAAGAUUCCAAAGAAAACAGAAAAACAAAAAAAGAGAAAUGUGUUGAAUCUCAGUUGGAAUCUGAAUCAAGUGUACUUAAUGACUCCCCUUCUCAAGAAGAUGACAAUGAAGAUUUUCAUUCUGACAACAGAGAAGAGAAACAGAAGAUUAAAAGUGCAAAAGACAAAGCAGGGCAAGAUGCAAUUCAGGAUGUUUUUGAUAAACAGCCAGAUGGCUCCGUGAGUGCCGAUGAAGAUGCUGAUGUCAAAGCAAAGAGAAAAAGGAAAAAACUGAGAAAGACUGAGGAACUCAGAGAGAGCAAAACACUAGAAAACAGGAACCUUUUCCUAGAGAAGAAACCUAUACAUAAGAAGCAAAGGAGUCAGGACAGAGGCAGAAGCACCACAGAGUUAGAUAAGCUGAUACCUGCACCUGCCCAGACACAGAAGAGUUCAAGAGCAGGUGUGGAAGAGAGAGGCCUCAGGUCUACUGACUCAGCUGGGGAGGAGAAAGAGAUUAAAAAAAAUGAACCCAAAGAAAAAUACCAGAAAAGGCAGGAUUUGGACAAGGAAGAAAAAGGUCGUAAAGAGCCAAGGGGAUUAAAGACAUUUAAGGAAAUCAGAAAUGCAUUUGAUUUAUUUAAAUUAACUCCAGAAGAAAAAAAUGAUUUUCCUGAGACUAAUCGGAAAAAAGAAGAAAUACCACUAGAUUAUAAAAUCACAGAAGAUCACAAAACCAAGGAAAACAAGCAGUUACUUAAAGAAAGGAGAAAUACAAGAGAUGAAACUGAUACUUGGGCAUAUAUAGCUGCAGAAGGUGAUCAAGAGGUUCUGGAUAGUAUGAGCCAAGCAGAUGAGAAUUCUGAUGGCAGACAACAGAUUUUGAGUUUGGGCAUGGACUUGAAGUUGGAGUGGAUGAAAUUAGAAGACUUUCAAAAGCAUCUUGAUGGGGAAGAUGAGAGUUUUACUACAGCAGAUGCAAUUCCGAGUAAUUUAUUGAGGGAUGCUGUGAAAAAUGGGGAUUACAUUGCUGUGAAGGUUGCACUUAAUUCAAAUGAAGACUAUAACCUGGACCAAGAGGAUUCAAGCGGGAUGACACUGGUGAUGCUCGCCGCAGCCGGAGGGCAAGACGACCUGCUGAGGCUCCUCAUCAGGAAAGGGGCUAAGGUGAAUGGCAGACAGAAGAAUGGGACCACCGCCCUCAUUCACGCAGCCGAGAAGAAUUUCCUAACUACAGUGGCUAUUCUUUUGGAAGCAGGAGCUUUUGUAAAUGUCCAGCAGAGUAACGGUGAGACUGCUCUAAUGAAGGCCUGUAAAAGAGGAAAUUCUGAUAUCGUACGACUUGUAAUUGAAUGUGGAGCUGACUGCAAUAUUUUGUCAAAGCACCAAAAUAGCGCCCUGCAUUUUGCGAAGCAGUGUAACAACGUGUUGGUGUACGACUUGCUGAAGAGUCACUUAGAGACACUUUCAAGAGUAGCAGAAGAAACAAUAAGGGACUACUUUGAGGCACGUCUUGCUCUGUUAGAACCAAUCUUCCCAAUAGCAUGUCACCGUCUCUGUGAGGGGCCAGAUUUUUCAACGGAUUUCAAUUAUAAACCCCCACAGAACAUACCAGAAGGCUCUGGCAUCCUGCUGUUUAUUUUCCAUGCAAACUUCUUGGGUAAAGAAGUAAUUGCUCGGCUCUGUGGACCGUGUAGUGUGCAAGCUGUAGUGUUAAAUGAUAAAUUUCAACUUCCGGUUUUUCUGGAUAGCCAUUUUGUUUACUCGUUCAGCCCUGCUACAGGCCUCAAUAAACUCUUCAUAAGGUUGACGGAAGCGCCUUCUGCCAAGGUGACAAUCCUUUCCUCACAUUAGUGCAACUACUCACAUUGCUAUUCCAGCAGCAAGCCCAAUGUGGGGCUCGGUCUCACGAACCGGGAGAUCACGACCUGAGACGAAGUGAAGUUGCUGAUAGGCGCCUACAGAGUGCAGCUGCAGUGACGGAACAGAGUCGGGACGGAGUCCUUUCCAGACCUGUUUCAGGACCCUGGCACAGCUAACACCUCCAGAUUUGAAGUUUCAUCUGUAAACCUCUUGCAGUUUUGGGCUGGGUAUCUGUUACGGGCUGUGAGAUGGGACGUGGCGGUUCUAAUAUAUUCUGAAAUAGA